AACGAACGCUGGCGGCAGGCCUAACACAUGCAAGUCGAGCGCGCCCUUCGGGGUGAGCGGCGGACGGGUGAGUAACGCGUGGGAACGUGCCCUUUUCUACGGAAUAGCCUCGGGAAACUGAGAGUAAUACCGUAUACGCCCUUUGGGGGAAAGAUUUAUCGGAAAAGGAUCGGCCCGCGUUGGAUUAGGUAGUUGGUGGGGUAAUGGCCUACCAAGCCGACGAUCCAUAGCUGGUUUGAGAGGAUGAUCAGCCACACUGGGACUGAGACACGGCCCAGACUCCUACGGGAGGCAGCAGUGGGGAAUCGUAGACAAUGGGGGCAACCAUGAUGUAGCCAUGCCGCGUGAGUGAUGAAGGCCUUAGGGUUGUAAAGCUCUUUCAGCUGGGAAGAUAAUGACGGUACCAGCAGAAGAAGCCCCGGCUAACUCCGUG
rnacentral:rRNA from 1 species